GCCAGUAAAAGAACUGGGCAGGAAGAUCUUGGCCUGCUGAUUUUCUAGGGGGAGCUUGCUGAUGACGGUUUUCCUGAUGCGAACGAGGCUGUCUCUGGGAAUGGCUGCUGCUUUCAACAGGGGAGCUCUGAUGUUUACCAAACCACAGAUUAUGUCUGCAUAAAACAUCCUGCUUUGUUCCUGAGCCCUGAGGAGUUCAUUUAACGCCCCCACCCCGCAGUCCAGCGGACAGUGCUUGGUCCUGGUGUACGUUUCCCGUGUGAAGACUGCGGCACGGUGAGUCACUACCUUUGAAAGACAUCCCUUGCUUUGAAUUUUAUGAG
rnacentral:lncRNA from 1 species